rnacentral:rRNA from 1 species
GAUGAACGCUAGCGGCAGGCUUAACACAUGCAAGUCGAGGGGCAUAGUUCUUCGGAGCUAGAGACCGGCGCACGGGUGCGUAACGCGUAUGCAAUCUACCUUUUGCAGAGGGAUCGCCCAGAGAAAUUUGGAUUAAUACCUCAUAGUAUGUGAGAAUGGCAUCAUUUUCACAUUAAAGUCACAACGGCAAAAGAUGAGCAUGCGUCCCAUUAGCUUGUUGGUAAGGUAACGGCUUACCAAGGCAACGAUGGUAGGGGUCCUGAGAGGGAGAUCCCCCACACGGGUACUGAGACACGGACCAGACUCCUACGGGAGGCAGCAGUGAGGAAUAUUGGACAAUGGGCGCAAGCCUGAUCCAGCCAUGCCGCGUGCAGGAUGACGGUCCUAUGGAUUGUAAACUGCCUUUGUACAGGAAGAAACACUGGUUCGUGAACCAGCUUGACGGUACUGUAAGAAUAAGGAUCGGCUAACUCCGUGCCAGCCGCCGCCGUAAGAC